UACAGAGGAGCCAAGCGUUGUCCGGAUUGACUGGGCGUAAAGCGCACGCAGGCGGUUGCGCGCGUGGGGUGUGAAAUCUGGCCGCUUAACGGCCAGGCGCCAUCCCAUACGGCGCGACUGGAGGGCUGCAGAGGUCGAUGGAAUUGCCGGUGUAGUGGUGAAAUGCGUAGAGAUCUGGAGGAACACCGAUGGCGAAGGCAGCCUUCUGGGCCAACACUGACGCUGAGGCGCGAAAGCCAGGGGAGCGAACGGG
rnacentral:rRNA from 1 species